AGCGAUGUAGCUCAAUUGGAAGAGUAUUUGUCUAGCCAACAUGAACCCUGGGUUAAAUCCCCAGCACCGUAU
rnacentral:tRNA from 1 species